rnacentral:lncRNA from 1 species
AGGCCUGUGCUGCCAUACUGUUCCCGUCUCUAAACAGUGUUUACCACAGAGCAGAUACCUGAGGUUUUUGUGGAUUGUUCCUGUGUUGCUUUACCUAAUAGUCAUGUGCUCAAGCAGUGUGCUGGUUCCUGUUUAUAUCUCCAGGGGUUCUGCGCACCUCAGGUUUUAUCAGUGCACCCACCCACUCUGGGCGCUAGAUGCUCUGGAUCUUUGGACUUUCUCAGUUUACUGGUACAGCUGGUCUCAGUUUUGAUUUUUUUUUGGAGCUGGGGACCGAACCCAGGGCCUUGCGCCCCCUUGGUCUCAGUUUUGAAAUGGGGAAAAACCUGUGUAUUGUUGGUUGCAUCCAUUCCCUUCCUUUAUUACAGUUGGAGGGCAGCCACACACCUGAACCAAAGGAAAAUGGAGAACAAGGUUGUCUUCAGAACGGGCUUUCUCUACCCAUGGUAGAGGAGAGGGAGGUCCUGUCACACUCUCUAGAAGCAGAGCACAGGUUAUUGAAAGCAAUGGGGUGGCAGGAGUAUCCUGAAAAUGAUGAGAGUUGCCUUCCACUCACAGAGGAUGAACUCAAGGAGUUUCACACGAGAACAGAACAGCUACGAAGGAACGGGUUUGUAAAGAAUGGCUUCUUACAAGGCCGUAGUUCCAGCCUGUUCUCCCCAUGGAGAAGCACUUGCAUUGCAGAGUGUGAGGACUCAGACACGGAAACAAGCAGCAGCGAGACGUCAGACGACGACGCCUGGAAGUAGAAGUAGAAAUGCUCGCAGCUGCCCUGCCCCGCUGAGCUCGGCCUUGUGUUAGAGAAUAUAAAGUUCUUUCCUUUCUUCUGUUGUUGAAUACUUCGUGCACAAGGGAAAUAGUCAUAUCCCAAAGACAGAGCCAUUGUCCUGCUUAGCUUUUGUUGUUCUUCCCUGUUAUCUGCUCAGUAGACAUUUGUGUGGUGGGAAUUUUUAAGCACACACAGUACCUGUUGGGCUGUGCACAAGUGGGAGCUGUGCAGGCAAAGAUGCAGGGAGGGGC